rnacentral:rRNA from 1 species
CCUACGGGAGGCAGCAGUGGGGAAUAUUGCACAAUGGGGGAAACCCUGAUGCAGCCACGCCGCGUGAGUGAAGAAGUAUUUCGGUAUGUAAAGCUCUAUCAGCAGGGAAGAAAAUGACGGUUCCUGAUUAAGAAGCCCCGGCUAACUACGUGCCAGCAGCCGCGGUAAUACGUAGGGGGAAAGCGUUAUCCGGAUUUACUGGGUGUAAAGGGAGCGUAGACGGGAGCACAAGUCUGGAGUGAAAUGCCGGGGCUUAACCCCGGAACUGCUUUGGAAACUGUGCAGCUAGAGUGCAGGAGAGGUAAGUGGAAUUCCUAGUGUAGCGGUGAAAUGCGUAGAUAUUAGGAGGAACACCAGUGGCGAAGGCGGGUUACUGGACUGUAACUGACGUUGAGGCUCGAAAGCGUGGGGAGCAAACAGGAUUAGAUACCCCAGUAGUC